UCCCUCUCAGGGUUGCACCUGUAGAGUUUCCACUACUCUACCAGUCUCUAUUAUGGGAGGGAGAGUGAAGCAGAGACAUAUCCAUUCCAUUCCUACCUUGGCCAGUGGCUAGCAAGUGGAAGGCAAUCUGCUACAAGU
rnacentral:snoRNA from 1 species